rnacentral:rRNA from 1 species
UACGAAGGGGGCUAGCGUUGUUCGGAAUUACUGGGCGUAAAGCGCGCGCAGGCGGCUAUCCAAGUCAGUGGUGAAAGCCCGGAGCUCAACUCCGGAACUGCCAUUGAAACUGUUUAGCUUGAGGAUGAGAGAGGUGAGUGGAAUUCCCAGUGUAGAGGUGAAAUUCGUAGAUAUUGGGAAGAACACCAGUGGCGAAGGCGACUUACUGGACACAUAUUGACGCUGAGGUGCGAAAGCGUGGGGAGCAAACAGG